CGUCUAUAUCACGUUGAAAGACCGGUUCUCGUACAAUAACCGAAGUUAAGCAAUGUUGAUCCUGGUCAGUACCUAGAUGAGUGACUGCUUGGGAAUAUCAGGUACUGUAG